rnacentral:lncRNA from 1 species
AAAGAUCUCUGUGAAUGAGAUCCCAGCAGAAAUAACAGGCCAUCAAAGAAGGCGGUACCUUUCUCUGAAGGGAGGAGAGAACUUCCACUUUGACUAUGGCCUUCUCUAAAUAUGAUCAGAGUCAGUGAACUCAAGAGGCUUCCAUAGCCUUGGCAGCUCAUGACAAGAACCUCGGGUGAUUACUGACACCAUAAACAAGAGUGUGAAUUGUUAAAUCAACAACAGGAGUCACUGUGCACUUACGCCCCAUGUAGGAUCUCUGUCCUUAAUGUGUUGUACUAUGUGAAUUAACGGCAAAACUACUAUUCAAACGGUACUCUAUACUUUGCGUGUCUUUGUGGGUGCAGUCUGUUGAAAUCUUUACUUAGUAUAUACUAAGUUAUCUUAUGUAUAUAAAGAUAAUUGAAAAUGAAUCUAAAUGAAGAAUGGGAUGGGAGUGUGGGAGAUGGGGUAGUUGCAGGUGGGAGGGAGGUUAUGGGGAGAAAAGCCACUAUAAUCAAAAGUUGUACUUUGCAAAUUUAUAUUUAUUAAAUAAAAGUUGAAAAAAUACGAAACAAAACAAAAAGAAUAAAAAAAAAUUAUGAACCAUUAUUCAUCUCCUUUCAUGGAUGUGGAAACUGAGGUUUAGAGUUCUGUCACAUGUUCCAGGCCAGGAAGUCCAUGAGUGGAUUCAAACCUUCCCCAAAGUAACACAAAAAAUAUAUGCACUGACCACAGGACUUUUGAGAAAUUGAGAGAAUGAAUAAUUUAGUGAGUAAAUGAAUAAAUGAAAUGUGGUGUGUGUGUGAGAGAGAGAGAGAGAGAAAGGUGAGAGGGAAGGGGAGACAGAGACAGGUGUUUGUGAUAAAGAAGUCUGACUGGAUUCUCCUUAAUCUCAAUUGGCACAGUGGGUGAGUCACUUAAAACCUUUUGGGAAGAGGGCAUUUUGAGGUAGAAAUAGCAUGGGUCAUUGUCCCCCAGGCCCCAGUAGUCUAAACAGUGUAACCACUGAUUAUCCCAGGACACCCUUGGGUUCUUGUCCCAAAACCCCUCAGGACGUCUCAGACCAAGGCCGAGCAUGCAUGAUGUCAAGAUGACAGCAGAACUCACUCACUCACUCACUCGCCCACUACUCCUCAGCACUUUGCACUGAGACACUUCAGUAGGAAAAAAAAAAAAAAAACUGAGUUUUCAGGCUUCAGCAUUU